rnacentral:rRNA from 1 species
AUUGAACGCUGGCGGCAUGCCUUACACAUGCAAGUCGAACGGCAGCACGGGGCAACCUGGUGGCGAGUGGCGAACGGGUGAGUAAUGCAUCGGAACGUACCUUUCAGUGGGGGAUAACGUAGCGAAAGUUACGCUAAUACCGCAUAUUCUGUGGGCAGGAAAGCAGGGGAUCGCCAGACCUUGCGCUGAUUGAGCGGCCGAUGUCAGAUUAGCUAGUUGGUGAGGUAAAGGAUCACCAAGGCGACGAUCUGUAGCGGGUCUGAGAGGAUGAUCCGCCACACUGGAACUGAGACACGGUCCAGACUCCUACGGGAGGCAGCAGUGGGGAAUUUUGGACAAUGGGGGCAACCCUGAUCCAGCCAUGCCGCGUGAGUGAAGAAGGCCUUCGGGUUGUAAAGCUCUUUCGGCCGGGAAGAAAUCGCACGGGCUAAUACCCUGUGUGGAUGACGGUACCGGAAUAAGAAGCACCGGCUAACUACGUGCCAGCAGCCGCAGUAACAC